UCCGAGUUGUCCCCGGCAGUCCCUCUAGAGUCCCCGGCAUUACCCGCUGGCAACUAAAGGCAGGGGUUGCGCUCGUUGCGGCACUUAAGCCAACACCUCACGGCACGAGCUGACGACAGCCAUGCAGCACCUGUGCUAGCCCCUUACGGACCCCGCAUCUCUGCGAGAUUUCCGUGCAUGUCAAGCCUAGGUAAGGUUCUUCGCGUUGCAUCGAAUUAAGCAACAUGCUCCGCCGCUUGUGCGGGCCCCCGUCAAUUCCUUUGAGUUUCACACUUGCGUGCGUACUCCCCAGGCGGGAUGCUAACAGCGUUAGCGACGGCACCCGGAGACUGUAACUCCAGACACCAAGCAUCCAUCGUUUAAGGCUAGGACUAC
rnacentral:misc_RNA from 1 species